rnacentral:rRNA from 1 species
AGCGAACGCUGGCGGCAGGCUUAACACAUGCAAGUCGAGCGGGCACUUUCGGGUGUCAGCGGCGGACGGGUGAGGAACGCGUGGGAACGUGCCCUCGGGUUCGGAAUAACUCAGGGAAACUUGAGCUAAUACCGGAUACGCCCUUUUGGGGAAAGGCUUGCUGCCGGAGGAUCGGCCCGCGUCUGAUUAGCUAGUUGGUGAGGUAACGGCUCACCAAGGCGACGAUCAGUAGCUGGUCUGAGAGGAUGAUCAGCCACACUGGGACUGAGACACGGCCCAGACUCCUACGGGAGGCAGCAGUGGGGAAUAUUGGACAAUGGGCGCAAGCCUGAUCCAGCCAUGCCGCGUGAGUGAUCAAGGCCUUAGGGUUGUAAAGCUCUUUUAUCCGGGACGAUAAUGACGGUACCGGAGGAAUAAGCCCCGGCUAACUUCGUG